rnacentral:rRNA from 1 species
AUACGGAGGAUGCGAGCGUUAUCCGGAUUUAUUGGGUUUAAAGGGUGCGUAGGCUGUGCGUUAAGUCAGGGGUGAAAUGCCGUCGCUCAACGACGGAGCUGCCCUUGAUACUGGCGUGCUGGAGUACGGAUGCCGUUGGAGGAAUGAGUGGUGUAGCGGUGAAAUGCUUAGAUAUCACUCAGAACACCAAUUGCGAAGGCAUCUGCAGAAUCCGUCACUGACGCUGAGGCACGAAAGCGUGGGGAUAGAACAGGAUUAGAUACCCUGGUAUUCCACGCCGUAAACGAUGAUGACUAACCGUCGGCGAUAGACAGCCGGUGGCCAAGCGAAAGCGAUAAGUCAUCCACCUGGGGAGUACGUCGGCAACGAUGAAACUCAAAGGAAUUGACGGGG